rnacentral:antisense_RNA from 1 species
CUUGAUCGAGCCGAGCCAGAGCGGGCGCUCCGCCGGGCGCUCCUGGCCGUACGUGGCGAGCAGGGCCUGCGCCUC